CGGAAAUUGAUGUAUUUUUACUUCAGUCUCUUCUGGUCUUUUUUUUUUAAUUUGCUUGUGCUUCUUGAGAGCAUUUCUUUUCUACUGCGUAGUUCAUUUGUCCUUUGUUUUUCUAGUUGAAUGAAGUUUUACAACACAAAAGUAGUGUAAACCGUUAAAUACGAUAUGGAAGUGCUUGGUUAUCUGAUAGCAUCUAUUUGUGCAAAAUGCUGGACAAACAGAAUAUUGAGAGAAUCCUGGCCAACAACAACAGUGCUAGUCUAGUAGACUGUGUACCUUGAGUCCAUCUACCUCAGCUUCGUUUGUCAGCAAUAAGUAGAAGCAACUCGUAAGUCCUGAAUAAAGAACAUAGCAGGAAAAGAAAUAACUCCAAGAGAGCACUGCAUUGAGAAGGAACAGUAAUUCUA
rnacentral:lncRNA from 1 species